AGAAUCAACGCUGGCGGCGUGCCUAACACAUGCAAGUCGAACGAGAAAGUGGAGCAAUCCAUGAGUAAAGUGGCGCACGGGUGAGUAACACGUGACUAACCUACCCUUGAGUGGGGAAUAACCUAGGGAAACCUGGCUAAUACCGCAUAACACCUACGGGUCAAAGGAGCAAUUCGCUUAAGGAGGGGUCGCGGCAGAUUAGCUAGUUGGCGGGGUAAUGGCCCACCAAGGCAGUGAUCUGUA
rnacentral:rRNA from 1 species